UGCGACCCCAGGUCAGGCGGGGCUACCCGCUGAAUUUA
rnacentral:rRNA from 1 species